AUACGUAGGAUCCGAGCGUUAUCCGGAUUUACUGGGCGUAAAGGGCGUGUAGGCGGUCUUGCAAGUCAGAAGUGAAAUUCCUGAGCUCAACUCGGGCGCUGCUUCUGAAACUGCAGGACUUGAGUGCUGGAGGGGAUAGCGGAAUUCCUAGUGGAGCGGUAAAAUGCGCAGAUAUUAGGAAGAACACCGGUGGCGAAGGCGGCUAUCUGGACAGUAACUGACGCUGAGGCGCGAAAGCGUGGGGAGCAAACAGGAUUAGAUACCCUGGUAGUCCACACUGUAAACGAUGAAUGCUAGGUGUAGGGGGUAUCGACCCCUUCUGUGCCGCAGUCAACACAAUAAGCAUUCCGCCUGGGGAGUACGGCCGCAAGGUUGAAACUCAAAUGAAUUGGCGGGG
rnacentral:rRNA from 1 species